AAGUGUCUUGCUUAGGAGGAAAAAGGGGGGCCUUACAAGUCAUCAAUUGCAUUACUUCAAGCUACAAAUUUAGAUGCUAGGUUAACCUUGCAUAUGAAAUGAAUGGACAGCCUCUAAACAGGGAUCAUGGCUAUCCUCUGUGUGUAAUUGUUCCUGGUGUGAUUGGUUCUCGAUCUGUAAAAUGGCUUAGUUCCAUCAAUAUUAUUGAAAAUGAAUGCCAGGGAUUUUUUACGCAAAGGGACUGUAAAAUGUUUCCUCCUGCAGUAAACUGGGAAAAUAUAGAAUGGUCAACUAGAAGGCCUCAGAUGGAUUU